rnacentral:lncRNA from 1 species
GAUGUAACAAACAGAGGCAGGGAUGCCAGCACAGAGCUGAGCUGCCCAGACUGGACUGGUGGUGCAAGCUUCGGACAGAUGGCUGACACCCACAAGGGCUCUCAGCCUAAAAUGUCUCUGCUAUGGGGUUGGCUCACGAGGCUCUCCUGUCAUGGCAGGAGCUGGCGACACCGUGAUGAUACAACAUUCAUUGUGUAUGGUCCUGUGGAGCUAGGAGGAUUCAGAACAACAGAGUCCACAUCUGGGCUGAGAAUUACUGACACUACCCAGAGCCCACCAGGAAACUCCGCAAAUAUAUCAAGUCUUCAACCAUUCCCUACUUUUGAUCUAAGCCUGCAUUAUAACAAUGACUAUUCCUAUGCAUGUCUCAAUGGUCAAAUUUUUCAUUAUGUUUAUGAGGGAGGGGCCUUCAUAUCCCACAAUGCAUGUGUGGAGGUCAGAGGAAAAUUUGUGGGAGUCAGCUUUCUUCUGCCAUAUGCGUCCGGGGGGGGGGGGGAGAAACCCAAGCUCAAGUUGCAAACCAAGAGACUGAGGCUCCAGAGCAGGAAGUGGCUUAUCCAACCCCCCCCCAAAAGUGUACAAAAGCAGGAAGUCAGAGCCUCGGCCCAGCUGCCAGGCGUUUUUCUGCUAAACUGCUCCCACCUGCGACAUUCUAGAAGCUUAAAAGGAAACUUCUUCCCCAGAGAUCAGCUCCAAGCCCAGGGAAGUCAUAAUAAAGAUGAA